GGCGUGCCAACACAUGCAAGUAAGAACGGGGAGUACUUACUUCGGUUUUUACUCCUAGUGGCGAACGGGUGAGUAACGCGUUGGUGACCUGCCCCGAAGCGGGGGAUAACAGUUCGAAAGGACUGCUAAUACCCCAUGUGGUCCUACCGGUUAGAGACGGUAUGACUAAAGGAGCAAUCCACUUCGGGAGGGGCCUGCGUCCCAUCAGCUAGUUGGUGGGGUAAAGGCCUACCAAGGCAACGAUGGUUAGCGGGUCUGAGAGGAUGAUCCGUCACACUGGCACUGGAACACGGGCCAGACUCCUACGGGAGGCAGCAGUGAGGAAUAUUGCGCAAUGGGGGAAACCCUGACGCAGCGACGCCGCGUGAGUGAGGAAGGCCUUCGGGUCGUAAAGCUCUGUCAGAAGGGAAGAAGUGUAGAGCGGUUAAUAUCCGUUUUAUUUGACGGUACCUUCAAAGGAAGCACCGGCUAACUCCGUGCCAGCAGCCGCGGUAAUACGGAGGGUGCGAGCGUUGUUCGGAAUCACUGGGCGUAAAGGGCGCGCAGGCGGUUUGUCAAGUCAGAUGUGAAAGCCCACGGCUUAACCGUGGAAGUGCAUUUGAAACUGGCAGACUUGAGUACCAGAGGGGAAGGUGGAAUUCCCGGUGUAGAGGUGAAAUUCGUAGAUAUCGGGAGGAAUACCGGUGGCGAA
rnacentral:rRNA from 1 species